ACUUAACCAAUUUGGACUAUUUCAUGACAUUACUAUUCUGUCCAUGACAUGAAAUACAAAUAAAAAUCAAUUUAAAUAACAGGUUGUAAUGCAAAAAAUAGGAAAAACGCCAAGGGGGGUGAAUACUUUUGCAAGGCACUGUAGGGGUGUACAGGGGUAGAUGGGGUGGAUAUAAUCUCCACCCGGCACAGCCAGAAGAGGACUGGCCACCCCUCAUAGCCUGGUUCCUCUCUAGGUUUCUUCCUAGGUUCUGGCCUUUCUAGGGAGUUUUUCCUAGCCACCGUGCUUCUACACCUGCAUUGCUUGCUGCUUGGGGUUUUAGGCUGGGUUUCUGUACAGCACUUUGAGAUAUCAGCUGAUGUAAGAAGGGUGAUAUAAAUACAUUUGAUUGAUAGGGGUAGAUGGGGUGAAUUAGGAUAGAUGGGUACUUAGGGGUAGAUAGAGGUGGAUAGGGGUAGAUAGAGGUAGAUAUGGGUGGUUAAAAGUGGAUCGGGGUAGACAGGGGUGGGCUAGCAGCUUAAAGAGCUUAGCAGGAAUCCUGCUUUCACUGAUUCUAAUGGAGAGCACUUUUGUCUGUGUUGUCCCCUCUCUGUGCUCGGAGUGUCUGUGUUGUCCUCUUUCUGUGCUCUGAGUGUCUGUGUUGUCCCCUCUCUCUGUGCUCUGAGUGUCUGUGUUGUCCCCUCUCUCUGUGCUCUGAGUGUCUGUGUUGUCCCCUCUCUCUAGAUAGUCCUCAGCCACACACAUGCAAACACACGGAGAGAGAGAGAGAGAGAGAGAGAGAGAGAGGGAGAAUACAAACUGAUAGUCAGAGCCACCAUGCAUGAAAUGCUGUAGUAUGAAUCUGCAGGUAGCUAACGUUAACCAACUAGGUGCAAUGUUAGCUAGCUAGCAUUAGGCUACAACUACCGACUGAGCCGCUCCCUCCCUACUGAGCCCUACCGACUGAGCCCUACCGACUAAGCCGCUCUCUCCCUCCCUACUGAGCCGCUCCCUACCGACUGAGCCGCUCCCUCCCUCCCUACUGAGCCGCUCCCUCCCUCCCUACUGAGCCGCUCCCUCCCUAUUGAGCCGCUCCCUCCCUACUGAGCCACUCCCUCCCUCCCUACUGAGCCGCUCCCUCCCUACUGAGCCACUCCCUACCGACUGAGCCGCCUCUCCCUCCCUACUGAGCCGCUCCCUCCCUCCCUACUGAGCCGCUCCCUCCCUACUGAGCCACUCCCUCCCUCCCUACUGAGCCGCUCCCUCCCUACUGAGCCGCUCCCUACCGACUGAGCCGCGCCCUAUUGACUGAGCCAGUCCCUCCCUACUGAGCCGCUCCGUCCCUCCCUACUGAGCCGCUCCCUCCCUCCCUACUGAGCCGCUCCCUCCCUCCCUACCGAGCCACUCCCUCCCGACUGAGCCGCUCCCUCCCUCCCUACUGAGCCGCUCCCUCCCUACUGAGCCGCUCCCUCCCUACUGAGCUGCUCCCUCCCUACUGAGCCGCUCCUUCCCUACUGAGCCGCUCCCUCCCGACUGAGCUGCUCCCUACCGACUGAGCCGCUCCCUACCGACUGAGCGCCCUACCGACUGAGCCGCGCCCUACCGACUGAGCCGCGCCCUACCGACUGAGCCGCUCCCUACCGACUGAGCCGCGCCCUACCGACUGAGCCGCUCCCUACCGACUGAGCCGCUCCCUCCCUCCCGACUGAGCCGCUCCCUACCGACUGAGCCGCUCCCUCCCUCCCGACUGAGCCGCUCCCUCCCGACUGAGCCGCUCCCUAUUGACUGAGCCGCGCCCUACUGACUGAGCCGCUCCCUACUGACUGAGCCGCUCCCUACUGACUGAGCCGCGCCCUACUGACUGAGCCGCUCCCUACUGACUGAGCCGCUCCCUAUUGACUGAGCCGCGCCCUAUUGACUGAGCCGCGCCCUAUUGACAGAGCCGCGCCCUACUGACUGAGCCACGCCCCUCCAACAGAGCCACGCCCUACCGACUGAGCCCUACCGACUGAGCCCUACCGACUGAGCCCUACUGACUGAGCCGCUCCCUACUGACUGAGCCACGCCCCUCCAACAGAGCCGCACCCUACCGACUGAGCCCUACCGACUGAGCCGCGCCCUACCGACUGAGCCACGCCCCUCCAACAGAGCCGCGCACUACCGACUGAGCCCUACCGACUGAGCCGCGCCCUACCGACUGAGCCACGCCCCUCCAACAGAGCCGCGCACUACCGACUGAGCCACGCCCCUCCAACAGAGCCGCGCCCUACCGACUGAGCCCUACCGACUGAGCAGCGCCCUACUGACUGAGCCGCGCCCUACCGACUGAGCCGCGCUCUACCGACUGAGCCGCGCCCUACUGACUGAGCAGCACCCUACCGACUGAGCCGCUCCCUACCGACUGAGCCGCGCCCUACCGACUGAGCCACGCCCUAUCGACUGAGCCCUACCGACUGAGCCGCGCCCUACCGACUGAGCCCUACCGACUGAGCCCUACCGACUGAGCCCUACCGACUGAGCCACGCCCUACCGACUGAGCCCUACCGACUGAGCCACGCCCUACCGACUGAGCCCUACCGACUGAGCCCUACCGACUGAGCCCUACCAACUGAACCCUACCGACUGAGCCGCGCCCUACCGACUGAGCCGCUCCCUACUGACUGAGCCGCUCCCUACCGACUGAGCCGCGCCCUACCGACUGAGCCGCUCCCUACCGACUGAGCCCUACAGACUGAGCCGCUCCCUCCCUACUGAGCCGCUCCCUCCCUCCCUACUGAGCCGCUCCCUACCGACUGAGCCGCUCCCUACCGACUGAGCCGCUCCCUCCCUACUGAGCCGCGCCCUACCGACUGAGCCCUACAGACUGAGCCGCUCCCUCCCUACUGAGCCGCGCCCUACCGACUGAGCCCUACAGACUGAGCCAUACAACUUUCUGACAAGAUAAGACACGUAUAAUAUCUGAAACUGUAGCUAGACUCUUACCCGUAUAGAUGGAUGAACGUGUCACAGCAGACCGGAACUCCUUUCAUUAAAUAAGACAUCCUGUGUCGUUUCUGUUCUGUUUGUGGUCCGUUGUGUCAGGUCUCUCUGGUUCACACUGACCGUGUGCAAUGCCAUCAGAAUCAUCUUAAGCGUUAGCCCCAGCCCAAACUCUGACCAUUUUACUCCUCCUAGCAGAGCUGGUUAGGCUGUUUUCAUGUUAUCCAGAGCGUUGGUGACUGUAACCCUGUGUUGUAAUGCCAAGAGUGUGCAAAGCUGUCAUCAAGGCAAAGGGUGGCUUCUUUGAAUAAUCUCAAGUAUAAAAUAUAUUUUGAUAUGUUUAACACUUUUUUGGUUACUACAUGAUUCCAUAUGUGUUAUUUCAUAGUUUUGAUGUCUUCACUAUUAUUCUACAAUGUAGAAAAUAGUAAAAAUAGUAAAAAUAAAGAAAAAACUACUACUGCUGCUGCUGCUGCUGCUGCUGCUACUACUACAAUGCCAUCAGAAUCAUCAGAUCUUUCUACCUCUCUGUCACGGAUGCAAUCAAACGUCAGAAUAGUCUGAGAUUUCUUUACUGUUUGAUUCGUUUUCAGAAUCAGAGAGAGUCAGCAUGGCACGAUCGUCCUCCAGAAAGUAGUCCAUCACAGCUUUUCCCCACUGGCUAGCGGGAAAGUUACUGUCUUUUUCCGUGGCUAAACCAACUAGGCUCGUAAUUUAACAAUUUCAUUCGUAUUUACAGAUGGCGUACACGUUUGUUAUUAAGGCUCAUGAGAGAUAUUACUGCACCUUCGGAUCUAGAAGCAUUAGCAUUUCGCUACACUCACAAUAACAUCUGCUAACCAUGUGUAUGUGACCAAUAACAUCUGCUAACCAUGUGACCAAUAACAUCUGCUAACCAUGUGUAUGGACCAAUAACAUCUGCUAACCAUGUGACCAAUAACAUCUGCUAACCAUGUGUAUGGACCAAUAACAUCUGCUAACCAUGUGUAUGUGACCAAUAACACCUGCUAACCAUGUGACCAAUAACAUCUGCUAACCAUGUGUAUGGACCAAUAACAUCUGUUAACCAUGUGACCAAUAACAUCUGUUAACCAUGUGACCAAUAACAUCUGUUAACCAUGUGACCAAUAACAUCUAUUAACCAUGUGACCAAUAACAUCUGUUAACCAUGUGACCAAUAACAUCUGUUAACCAUGUGACCAAUAACAUCUGCUAACCAUGUGACCAAUAACAUCUGCUAACCAUGUGACCAAUAACAUUUGAUUUGAUGUUCCAGAAAGCAUUUCUGCCAAAAAACAUAUUUUCAUUAAAAAAAAAAAAAAAAUGUUUUGUUACGUUCAAAUGCCUCUCCUGUGAAGUAGUGACGUGGGACAUACGCUUAGCUUCCUGAAACGGGUCACAUAUAGGAUGGGAUAAAGUGACAACAGGAUAGAGAGUAAACAGCAGCAUAUGUGAUGAGUCAAAAGAGUUGGUGCAAAAAAGGGUUAAUGCAGAUCGUUAAAUAGUUAACCAAUAGCUACCUGGACUAACUAUUUAUCAGUCUUAUGGCUUUGGGGGUAGAUGCUGUUCAGGGUCCUGUUUGGUUCUAGACUUGGUCCAUCGGUACCGCUUGCCGUGCGGUAGCAGAGAGAACAGUCUAUGACUGUUCAGGGUCCUGUUUGGUUCCAGACUUCAAAUCAAAUCAAAUCAAAAGUGUGUCACAUGCACAUACAACCUUACAUUGAAAUGCUUAUUUACAACCGACAAUGCAGUUUUAAGAAAAAUAUCUAAAAUAAAUUCAAUAAAAGUAACAAAUAAUUAAAGAGCAGCAGUAAAAUAACAAUAGCGAGGCUGUAUACAGGGGGUACCGGUACAGAGUCAAUGUGGAGGCUAUAUACAGGGCAUUACGGUACAGAGUCAAUGUGGAGGCUAUAUACAGGGUGUUACGGUACAGAGUCAAUGUGGAGGCUAUAUACAGGGUAUUACGGUACAGAGUCAAUGUGGAGGCUAUAUACAGGGGGUACCGGAACAGAGUCAAUGUGGAGGCUAUAUACAGGGGGUACCGGUACAGAGUCAAUGUGGAGGCUAUAUACAGGGGGUACCGGUACAGAGUCAAUGUGGAGGCUAUAUACAGGCGGUACCAGUACAGAGUCAAUGUGGAGGCUAUAUACAGGGGGUACCGGUACAGAGUCAAUGUGGAGGCUAUAUACAAGGGGUACCGGUACAGAGUCAAUGUGGAGGCUAUAUACAGGGGGUACCGGUACAGAGUCAAUGUGGAGGCUAUAUACAGGGGGUACCAGUACAGAGUCAAUGUGGAGGCUAUAUACAGGGAGUACCGGUACACAGUCAAUGUGGAGGCUAUAUACAGGGGGUACCGGUACAGAGUCAUUGUGGAGGCUAUAUACAGGGGGUACCGGUACAGAGUCAAUGUGGAGGCUAUAUACAGGGGGUACCGGUACAGAGUCAAUGUGGAGGCUAUAUACAGGGGGUACCGGUACAGAGUCAAUGUGGAGGCUAUAUACAGGGGGUACUGGUACAGAGUCAAUGUGGAGGCUAUAUACAGGCGGUACCGGUACAGAGUCAAUGUGGAGGCUAUAUACAGGGGGUACUGGUACAGAGUCAAUGUGGAGGCUAUAUACAGGGGGUACCGGUACAGAGUCAAUGUGGAGGCUAUAUACAGGAGGUACCGGUACAGAGUCAAUGUGGAGGCUAUAUACAGGGGGUACCGGUACAGAGUCAAUGUGGAGGCUAUAUACAGUGGGUACCGGUACAGAGUCAAUGUGGAGGCUAUAUACAGGGGGUACUGGUACAGAGUCAAUGUGGAGGCUAUAUACGGUACCCCUAUAUACAGAGUCAAUGUGGGAAAUGUAUGCAUUCACUACUGUAAGUUGCUCUGGAUAAGUGUUUGCUAAAUGACUAAAAUGUUGUGAAAACUUUCCAAUGAUGUGUUUGAACCUCACUGUGAGAAUUGCACUUCUGAUCAUUGUAAACAAGGACUAGCUUUCUGGUAGUCUAAAUUGAGUUAUCACAGAUAUGUAGUUGAAAACAGUGCCAUCAGUAUAGAACACGUCAGGUAGAGUUAUUAAAGUGACUAUGCAUAGAUGAUAACAGAGUGCAGCAGAAGGAAGGGGGGGGGGGGCAAUGAAAGUAGUCUGGGUAGCCAUUUGAUUAGCUGUUCAGGAGUCUUAUGGCUUGGUGGUAGAAGCUGUUUAGAAGCCUCUUGGACCUAGACUUGGUGCCCCGGUACCGCUUGCCGUGCGGUAGCAGAGAGAACAGUCUAUGGCUGGGGGUGGCUGGAGUCUUUGACCAUUUUUAGGGCCUUCCUCUGGCACCACCUGGUGUAGAGAUCCUGGAUGGCAGGAAGCUUGGCCUCGGUGAUGUACUGGGGCAUACGCACUACCCUCUGUAGUGCCUUGCGGUCGGAGGCCGAGCAGUUGCCAUACCAGGCAGUGAUGCAACCAGUCAGGAUGCUCUCGAUGGUGCAGCUGUAGAACCUUUUGAGGAUCUGAGGACACAUGCCAAAUCUUUUCAGUCUCCUGAGGGGGAAUAGGUUUUGUCGUGUCCUCUUCAUGACUGUCUUGGUGUGUUUGGACCAUGAUAGUUUGUUGGUGAUGUGGACACCAAGGAACUUGAAGCUCUCAACCUACUCCACUUCAGCCCCGUCGAUGAGAAUGAGGGCAUGCUCGGUCCUCCUUUUCCUGUAGUCCACAAUCAUCUCCUUUGUCUUGAUCACGUCGAGGUAGAGGUUGUUGUCCUGGCACCACCCGUCCAGGUCUCUGACCUCCUCCCUAUAGGCUGUCUCAUCGUUGUCGGUGAUCAGGCCUACCACUGUUGUGUCAUCAGCAAACUUAAUGAUGGUAUUGGAGUUGUGCCUGGCAGUGCAGUCAUGAGUGAACAGGGAGUACAGGAGGGGACUGAGUACGCACAACGGAGGGGCCCCCGUAUUGAGGAUCAGCAUGGCGGAUGUGUUGUUGCGGUCUUCGUCUGUCCCUGCGGCCUUGUGAAUGUUGACCUGUUUAAAAGUCUUACUCACAUUGGCUACGGAGAUCACACAGUCGUCCAGAAUAGUUGCUGCUGCAUGGUUCAGGAUUGCUUGCCUCGAAGCAAGCGUAAAAGGUAUUUAGUUCGUCUGGUAGGCGAGACAGCUCGCGAUUGGGUUUCCCUUCAUAAUCCAUGAUAGUUUCCCUUUGUAGUCUGUAAUAGUCUUCAAGCCCUGCCACAUCCGACGAGCGUUGGAGCCGGUAUUGUACGAUUCAAUCUUAGACCUGUAUUGAUGCUUUGCCUGUUUGAUGGUUUGUCUGAGGGCGUAGCGGGAUUUCUUAUCAGUGCCCGGAUUCGUGUCCCGCUCCUUGAAAGCGGUAACUCUAGCCUUUAGCUCAGUGCGGAUGUUGCCUUUAAUCCAUGGCUUCUGGUUGGGAAAUGUACGUACUGUCACUGUGGAGACAAAGUCGUCGAUGCACUUAUUAAUGAAGCCGGUGACUCAACGCCAUCGGAGGAACAUAUUCCAGUCUGUGCUAGCGAUACAGUCCUGUAGCUUAGCAUCCGCUUCAUCUGAC
rnacentral:lncRNA from 1 species